GUCCCUGUAGCUUACAAAUAAAGCAUGGCACUGAAGAUGCCAAGAUGGUGGGCCAAUCCCAGUACA
rnacentral:tRNA from 1 species